CCUACGGGAGGCAGCAGUAAGGAAUAUUGGUCAAUGGACGAAAGUCUGAACCAGCCAUGCCGCGUGAAGGAUGAAGGCCCUCUGGGUUGUAAACUUCUUUUAUCUGGGACGAAAAAAGCUCAUUCUUGAGCACUUGACGGUACCAGAGGAAUAAGCACCGGCUAACUCCGUGCCAGCAGCCGCGGUAAUACGGAGGGUGCAAGCGUUAUCCGGAUUCACUGGGUUUAAAGGGUGCGUAGGUGGGUCUGUAAGUCAGUGGUGAAAUCUCCGAGCUUAACUCGGAAACUGCCAUUGAUACUAUAGGUCUUGAAUCAUCUGGAGGUAAGCGGAAUAUGUCAUGUAGCGGUGAAAUGCUUAGAUAUGACAUAGAACACCAAUUGCGAAGGCAGCUUACUACGGGUGCAUUGACACUGAGGCACGAAAGCGUGGGGAUCAAACAGGAUUAGAUACCCUGGUAGUCCACGCCCUAAACGAUGGAUACUCGACAUCAGCGAUACACUGUUGGUGUCUGAGCGAAAGCAUUAAGUAUCCCACCUGGAAGUACGACCGCAAGGUUGAAACGUCAAAUGAAUUGACGG
rnacentral:rRNA from 1 species